rnacentral:ncRNA from 1 species
UUAUCUACUUAGAUCGGAAUGGUUUAGUAUAUUGCUAACAGAGAGUCUCAGCUAGCUGAAAAUGAGAUUAGGAAUUGCUAAACUGCACAUCCGGGAGUAAUUUUUCUGAAAGACAGUAGGAAAAAUCGUUGAACACGUUAUUGUUGAAGUUUAGUAAUAAACUCGUUGAGGUUAAUUAUGUGAAUAAUUAACGCAGUUGGGGUGGCACCACGAUUAAAAUCGUCCUCUUG